rnacentral:rRNA from 1 species
CACGUAGGCGGACUAUUAAGUCAGGGGUGAAAUCCCGGGGCUCAACCCCGGAACUGCCUUUGAUACUGGUAGUCUCGAGUCCGGAAGAGGUGAGUGGAAUUCCGAGUGUAGAGGUGAAAUUCGUAGAUAUUCGGAGGAACACCAGUGGCGAAGGCGGCUCACUGGUCCGGUACUGACGCUGAGGUGCGAAAGCGUGGGGAGAAC